AUUGAACGCUGGCGGCAGGCUUAACACAUGCAAGUCGAGCGGAGAUGAGGUGCUUGCACCUUAUCUUAGCGGCGGACGGGUGAGUAAUGCUUAGGAAUCUGCCUAUUAGUGGGGGACAACAUUCCGAAAGGAAUGCUAAUACCGCAUACGCCCUACGGGGGAAAGCAGGGGAUCUUCGGACCUUGCGCUAAUAGAUGAGCCUAAGUCGGAUUAGCUAGUUGGUGGGGUAAAGGCCUACCAAGGCGACGAUCUGUAGCGGGUCUGAGAGGAUGAUCCGCCAAACUGGGACUGAGACACGGACCAGACUCCUACGGGAGGCAGCAGUGGGGAAUAUUGGACAAUGGGCGGAAGCCUGAUCCAGCCAUGCCGCGUGUGUGAAGAAGGCCUCUUGGUUGUAAAGCACUUUAAGCGAGGAGGAGGCUACCUGGAUUAACACUCUAGGAUAGUGGACGUUACUCGCAGAAUAAGCACCGGCUAACUCUGUGCCAGCCGCCGCAGUAAGAC
rnacentral:rRNA from 1 species